GUGGGGAAUCUUAGACAAUGGGCGCAAGCCUGAUCUAGCCAUGCCGCGUGAGCGAUGAAGGCCUUAGGGUUGUAAAGCUCUUUCGUGGGGGAAGAUAAUGACUGUACCCCAAGAAGAAGCCCCGGCUAACUCCGUGCCAGCAGCCGCGGUAAUACGGAGGGGGCUAGCGUUGUUCGGAAUUACUGGGCGUAAAGCGCACGUAGGCGGACUGGAAAGUCAGGGGUGAAAUCCCGGGGCUCAACCCCGGAACUGCCUUUGAAACUCCCAGUCUUGAGUUCGAGAGAGGUGAGUGGAAUUCCGAGUGUAGAGGUGAAAUUCGUAGAUAUUCGGAGGAACACCAGUGGCGAAGGCGGCUCACUGGCUCGAUACUGACGCUGAGGUGCGAAAGCGUGGGGAGCAAACAGGAUUAGAUACCCCGGUAGUCC
rnacentral:rRNA from 1 species